AGGUGUAUAGCUCAGUCUGGUUAGAGCGGCGGCCUUAUGAGCCGUGUGCCGAUAGUUCAAAUCUACCUACACCUA
rnacentral:tRNA from 1 species